rnacentral:rRNA from 1 species
UUUAUGGAAAAUCACACUCGUUUUAAUAAUAUUUUCUGUCCAUUAAAAUGGACAUAGUACUUAGUACCCAUAUGGAGAAUCUUAUUGUAUGGUAUAGUUAUACUCCUAGUAAAACAUCAUUGUGUUUUGACUGAGAGACCGAUUCACUCUGCUUUCUAGUGCAGAAACCAAGGGCAAUACGGCCGUCUAUAGGUAUUAUUCUUCUUAGAGAAUGGAAAAGAACCCUUUUCGUCUCUAAAUACUUCUUUGUAUUUUUCAGAAGAGUACCUUUCUUAGACUAUUGGCUACUAAUGUGAGCAUAAUCACUCCAGGGUUUUCCACCUUGCCUA